AUGUAAGUGCCUUUCCAGCCCUAUAUACGGUUGUGAUUCAUACCAAGGCAGUCUCAUGCUUUUAGCCCAGACCCACCAACCUACCAAGGACACUGGCCUUUUGUUUUCUUUCACAUCCUUCCCUCGAGAACCCUGAUUUAGGUGUUUCCAUUCUGUACGGUAAUUCUUUUAUUUGUGACCUGAUGAGGAAAGAUUUCCUCAGUCCAAAUAUAGUCGGACUGAGUCACAGCUGUGGGCGUCUGUGACCAGAGUCUGGGCUGUGCCCGAUUCUGCGGAAAUCAAGGAUGCCUUCUUUUGUACCAUCCUUGCUCAAGGGAGAGUUGGAACAUUGACUUGAUGCUGAAGAAGCCUUUCUUCAAAGAGAGCUGAGGGUCACCUGCAUCAGAACCCUUGGAAAUACUUGUAAAACAAGUGCUGUUCCACCCCAACAGCGGGGCAGCUGGAGAGUUUGGAGCCCUGCAGACUGUCCGCCUGGAGCGUUACAAGGCCUUCUACAUUACCGGUGGAGCCAGGGCGUGUGAUGGGAGCACCGGGCCUGAGCUGCAGCAUAAGUUUCCUCUGAUUUUCAACCUGGAAGACGAUACCGCAGAAGCUGUGCCCCUAGAAAGAGGUGGUGCGGAGUACCAGGCUGUGCUGCCCGAGGUCAGAAAGGUUCUUGCAGACGUCCUCCAGGACAUUGCCAACGACAACAUCUCCAGCGCAGAUUACACUCAGGACCCUUCAGUAACUCCCUGCUGUAAUCCCUACCAAAUUGCCUGCCGCUGUCAAGCCGCAUAACAGACCAAUUUUUAUUCCACGAGGAGGAGUAUCUGGAAAUUAGGCAAGUUUGCUUCCAAAUUUCAUUUUUACCCUCUUUACAAACACACGCUUUAGUUUAGUCUUGGAGUUUAGUUUUGGAGUUAGCCUUGCAUAUCCCUUCUGUAUCCUGUCCCUCCUCCACGCCGACCCGAGAGCAGCUGAGCCACGCUGGCUCUGGGCA
rnacentral:sRNA from 1 species